rnacentral:rRNA from 1 species
CCUACGGGAGGCAGCAGUGGGGAAUAUUGGACAAUGGGGGGAACCCUGAUCCAGCCAUGCCGCGUGUGUGAAGAAGGCCCUCGGGUUGUAAAGCACUUUCAGUGAGGAAGAACGCCUGGUGGUUAAUACCCAUCAGGAAAGACAUCACUCACAGAAGAAGCACCGGCUAACUCCGUGCCAGCAGCCGCGGUAAUACGGAGGGUGCGAGCGUUAAUCGGAAUUACUGGGCGUAAAGCGCGCGUAGGUGGCUUGAUAAGCCGGUUGUGAAAGCCCCGGGCUCAACCUGGGAACGGCAUCCGGAACUGUCAAGCUAGAGUGCAGGAGAGGAAGGUAGAAUUCCCGGUGUAGCGGUGAAAUGCGUAGAGAUCGGGAGGAAUAACAGUGGCGAAGGCGGCCUUCUGGACUGACACUGACACUGAGGUGCGAAAGCGUGGGUAGCAAACAGGAUUAGAUACCCCUGUAGUC